AACGAACGCUGGCGGCGCGCCUAAUACAUGCAAGUCGAGCGAGAAGGUGUAGCAAUACACUUGUAAAGCGGCGAACGGGUGAGGAAUACAUGGGUAAUCUACCAUCGAGUGGGGAAUAACCAGCCGAAAGGUUGGCUAAUACCGCGUACGCCUCCGAAUCUUCGGGUUCGGAGGGAAAGCCACACUGUGAGUGCGGCGCUCUUUGAUGAGCUCAUGUCCUAUCAGCUUGUUGGUAGGGUAACGGCCUACCAAGGCUUUGACGGGUAGCUGGUCUGAGAGGACGAUCAGCCACACUGGCACUGCGACACGGGCCAGACUCCUACGGGAGGCAGCAGUAAGGAAUAUUGCGCAAUGGGCGAAAGCCUGACGCAGCGACGCCGCGUGGGGGAUGAAGGUCUUCGGAUUGUAAACCCCUUUCGGAGGGAAGAUGGAGCGAGCAAUCGUUCGGACGGUACCUCCAGAAGCAGCCACGGCCAACUUCGUGCCAGCAGCCG
rnacentral:rRNA from 1 species